rnacentral:lncRNA from 1 species
CAGUGCUCACCAUCCCUCUCUCCCUCCCUCUGUCCGCAGCGAUCUCCAUCCCUCUCUCCCUCCCUCCGUCCGGGACGCUCUCCAUCCCUCUCUCCCUCCCUCCGUCCGCGACGCUGCUCGCCAUCCCUCUCUCCCUCGCUCUCCGUCACUUCCUCCCGGGCCCAGAGCCCUGUCCAUAUGCCUGCUGCUGAUUGGCCGACAGAGUCUCUGAGAGGUGGAGCCGACAGUCAGGUUCUAGAGCCAAGUAGAACAACCAGCACAGAGAAGAACCUACCUGGUAACUGGACAGAACAGAACCAGAUGACCGCUAGAGCCAAAAUGGAGGACAACCUAACUACAACCUGCACCUAUGAGAACCAGAUGACCGCUAGAGCCAAAAUGGAGGAGAACCUAACUACAACCUGCACCUAUGAGAACCAGACGACCGCUAGAGCCAAAAUGGAGGAGAACCUACCCACAACCUGCACCUAUGAGAACCAGACGACCGCUAGAGCCAAAAUGGAGGAGAACCUAACUACAACCUGCACCUAUGAGAACCAGACGACUGCUAGAGCCAAAAUGGAGGAGAACACGGCGGGGGCCAGCACAGUGACGAGAGCAAACUUCUCCACACCCCCCCACAGCCCUGCACAUGGGCCCUUCCAGACCGUCUCCACACCCCCCCACAGCCCUUCACAUGGGCCGUUCCAGACUGCCUUCCCAUUGGUCGAUCGUGCCCAUCAUCUCACAUCGACUGCCUCCCCAUUGGUUGAAUGGAACGAGCCGUGCCAGUCUCAGGAAGAUACAACGUCUGUUUUACAACAUAUAGACACUCUAAAGGGUGCGGUGGAAGGUUGUGUGUAUGACGUGUGUGCGGUGCGUUCGCCAUCGGGAGGCCAGUGUGUGUGUGUGGCCGGGGAGUGGAGUGUGUGUGUGUGGACGGAGGACACACCCUUUCACUGGACACUGUUACACACCUGGAGAUUUACACAGGUACACACACACACACACAUAAAUGCACACACACACGCGCGCACGUACACACACACAUAAAUGCACGCAUACACAUAAGCGCACACAAACACACACACACACGCACACACACACGCACACACACCAGCCCAUACAUUUUCACAUUAACACACAAACUUGGCUCACAUUUACAUGGUUAUACGACCUGUCUGUUGCCUAAUAUGUGUGUGUGUGUGUGUGUGUGUGUGUGUGUGUGUGUGUGUAGUCUGUAGUGUCUCUGUUCUCUGUUCCUGAUUCUGAUGGACUGCUGUGUGUUACCCUGGGUCAACUAGAGAUCACAGAAACAAGGUACACACACACACACACACACACACACACACACACACACCAAUUAAGUUUGGUUCUGCUAGCACA